UUACAGUCUGAGGGGGUGGUAGUCAAAGGUAGUGAUGUGCCUUCCAGCAAGUCUAUACGAGCAGAACACAGAAUGGAUCAAAGACAACAAGACAAAUACAAGGCCGCAGCAUCUAGUGACCUUGAACUUCAGUAGCUUGGCAAAGUUCAAGACUUUGAUGACAGUUGCCAGGGAGAGCAUCAUCAAAUAAAAUCAUGUUUUCUGUUCUAA